CAGACUUGGGGGACAUUAGCAACUACUACAGCGAUGGGAAGAGAAGCAGCCCACUAUCUCCACUGAACUUUGAUCUUGCCCAGCCACAUUCCUCUCAACAUCACCAUGUGUGCCAUGGGAUAGCUCAGCUCAGACAUGCCCAGAGCCUGAAUUACACACCUAGUCCAACCACUGACAGCUUUUGCCUGGAUUGUUGCCACGGUCUCCUGACUGCUGUUUCUGCUUUCACACCUGCUCCCUGUGUAGCUACUCAACUCAGUAGGUGAGGUGACGCUGCUGAAAUGUACAAGAACACUUCAGCCUUUGCUCAAAACUCUGCAAGCUACUAUUUCGCACAGUUUAUGAACCAUAAUUCAUACUCACUAUAACGGUCCUUAUUGCCUGAAUAAUGGAAACAAGUCGCCAAGACCCAACAAAUCCUGCUCCACGCAUACCAUGCAGACAGAAUCGAAGAAUGGAAAUACAGGGUGAAGCGAACGCUCUACUUCUCCCCAAACUCCUGAUGGCGCGUUGUUACAUCUUUCAGAACCCAACCCCCAUUCCCCCACGAUUUCCUAAUAAACUCUG